UCGGCGUGCCUAAUACAUGCAAGUCGAGCGAGCGGAACUAACAGAUUUACUUCGGUAAUGACGUUAGGAAAGCGAGCGGCGGAUGGGUGAGUAACACGUGGGGAACCUGCCCCAUAGUCUGGGAUACCACUUGGAAACAGGUGCUAAUACCGGAUAAGAAAGCAGAUCGCAUGAUCAGCUUUUAAAAGGCGGCGUAAGCUGUCGCUAUGGGAUGGCCCCGCGGUGCAUUAGCUAGUUGGUAAGGUAAAGGCUUACCAAGGCGAUGAUGCAUAGCCGAGUUGAGAGACUGAUCGGCCACAUUGGGACUGAGACACGGCCCAAACUCCUACGGGAGGCAGCAGUAGGGAAUCUUCCACAAUGGACGCAAGUCUGAUGGAGCAACGCCGCGUGAGUGAAGAAGGUUUUCGGAUCGUAAAGCUCUGUUGUUGGUGAAGAAGGAUAGAGGUAGUAACUGGCCUUUAUUUGACGGUAAUCAACCAGAAAGUCACGGCUAACUACGUGCCAGCAGCCGCGGUAAUACGUAGGUGGCAAGCGUUGUCCGGAUUUAUUGGGCGUAAAGCGAGCGCAGGCGGAAGAAUAAGUCUGAUGUGAAAGCCCUCGGCUUAACCGAGGAACUGCAUCGGAAACUGUUUUUCUUGAGUGCAGAAGAGGAGAGUGGAACUCCAUGUGUAGCGGUGGAAUGCGUAGAUAUAUGGAAGAACACCAGUGGCGAAGGCGGCUCUCUGGUCUGCAACUGACGCUGAGGCUCGAAAGCAUGGGUAGCGAACAGGAUUAGAUACCCUGGUAGUCCAUGCCGUAAACGAUGAGUGCUAAGUGUUGGGAGGUUUCCGCCUCUCAGUGCUGCAGCUAACGCAUUAAGCACUCCGCCUGGGGAGUACGACCGCAAGGUUGAAACUCAAAGGAAUUGACGGGGGCCCGCACAAGCGGUGGAGCAUGUGGUUUAAUUCGAAGCAACGCGAAGAACCUUACCAGGUCUUGACAUCUAGUGUCAUUUGUAGAGAUACAAAGUUCCCUUCGGGGACGCUAAGACAGGUGGUGCAUGGCUGUCGUCAGCUCGUGUCGUGAGAUGUUGGGUUAAGUCCCGCAACGAGCGCAACCCUUGUUAUUAGUUGCCAGCAUUAAGUUGGGCACUCUAAUGAGACUGCCGGUGACAAACCGGAGGAAGGUGGGGAUGACGUCAAGUCAUCAUGCCCCUUAUGACCUGGGCUACACACGUGCUACAAUGGGCAGUACAACGAGAAGCGAGCCUGCGAAGGCAAGCGAAUCUCUGAAAGCUGUUCUCAGUUCGGACUGCAGUCUGCAACUCGACUGCACGAAGCUGGAAUCGCUAGUAAUCGCGGAUCAGCACGCCGCGGUGAAUACGUUCCCGGGCCUUGUACACACCGCCCGUCACACCAUGGGAGUCUGCAAUGCCCAAAGCCGGUGGCCUAACCUUCGGGAAGGAGCCGUCUAAGGCAGGGCAGAUGACUGG
rnacentral:rRNA from 1 species